rnacentral:rRNA from 1 species
ACGAACGCUGGCGGCGUGCUUAACACCUGCAAGUCGAACGGUGAAGGGGUCUGCUUUUGUGGGCCCUGGAUGAGUGGCGAACGGGUGAGUAACACGUGAGUAACCUGCCCCCUUCUUCUGGAUAACCGCAUGAAAGUGUGGCUAAUACGGGAUAUUCUGGGUCUGUCGCAUGAUGGGUCUGGGAAAGAUUGCGCCUUUGGGUGUUUUUGGUGGGGGAUGGGCUCGCGGCCUAUCAGCUUGUUGGUGGGGUGAUGGCCUACCAAGGCGGUGACGGGUAGCCGGCCUGAGAGGGUGGACGGUCACACUGGGACUGAGACACGGCCCAGACUCCUACGGGAGGCAGCAGUGGGGAAUAUUGCACAAUGGGCGCAAGCCUGAUGCAGCGACGCCGCGUGAGGGAUGGAGGCCUUCGGGUUGUAAACCUCUUUCGCCAGUGAAGCAGGCCUGCUCCUUGUGGGUGGGUUGACGGUAGCUGGAUAAGAAGCGCCGGCUAACUACGUG